AUGUUACUCCCUCAGUUCCAUAAUUCUUGUCGAAAUAUUACAUGUAUCUAAACACUUUUUAAAAAUAGAUACAUUCAUUUUUAACCAAAUUUGAGACAAGAAUUAUGGAACGGAAGGAGUACCAU
rfam:Brachypodium distachyon strain Bd21 chromosome 4, whole genome shotgun sequence.